CAGGGGCCACAGGAAAAGGCCGAGCAUCUCUCUGCCACUUGCUAGAGGCGCCCUUCCCCCUGGGUUCCAACUCCUGCCUCACAAAAUGAGUAGAAGGAAGCUCAUCUCUCUCAGGCUUCCUGUUCUCUGGGCCUUUCUUCCCCCUGCUUCAAGAACACACUCAUUCUAGAGAUGAUGGGGUGGGCCCAAGGUCAGCCAUUAAACCACUGACUAUCACACUACCACGCGGCUUACAGACAGUCUGCUGAAGCACGUCCGCUCCACCGGUGGGAAACCAGACCUUCAGUGAAGACCUUUGUGCACAGUCAUGCUUCCUGAGAAGUAUCAAAACCCAGGGUCUUCCUGUGAGCCCUCACUUCAACCUCAGGGUUCUCUGCUCACAAUAUAUCAUGUGCUCAGGCUCAAACCAUCUGUGGGUCACCAUGGUUGUAAACACCAGGAAAGGAGGAAGGAGAGGUAGUGCCUACUUCUUGGAAGGUCCCCACCUCUUCCCAGAAGAAGCAUACACGUCCCUCCCCUUUACUAGCCUAGCCCAUGUCUCCUCUCCCUCUAUCUGUAACUCCUCAACCUGUUGGCUUAGAGCUGUUAACUCCUGAGCUUGUCUUUUCUUUGGCUACUGAAUAAAGCCCAUUUUGACCCCA